UACAGAGGGGGCGAGCGUUGUUCGGAAUUACUGGGCGUAAAGGGCGCGUAGGCGGCCUGCUAAGUCGGACGUGAAAUCCCCAGGCUCAACCUGGGAACUGCGUCCGAUACUGGCAGGCUUGAAUCCGGGAGAGGGAAGUGGAAUUCCAGGUGUAGCGGUGAAAUGCGUAGAUAUCUGGAAGAACACCGGUGGCGAAGGCGGCAUCCUGGACCGGUAUUGACGCUGAGGCGCGAAAGCUAGGGGAGCAAACGGG
rnacentral:rRNA from 1 species